AUACUUACCUGGCAGGGGAGAUACCAUGAUCAUGAAGGUGGUUUUCCCAGGGAGAGACUUAUCCUUUGCACUCUGAGUGUGUUGACCUCUGCGAUUUCCCCAAAUGUGGGAAACUCCACUGCCUAAUUGGUGGUAGUGGGACUCUGCGUAUGGGCUCUCCUCUG